AAUGUGUCCAAGACAGCCUAGAAAAAUUAAUGCUCUUAAUUAAGCACGACAGCAUAAGAGGAGUAGAAAUUGCCGCACAAAUCGACUGAAAUUUCUCAUAACGGUGUAAGAGGAAUUCAUUAGGAAACAAAACGACGGAACAUUGAAACAACCUUAAAUAAAUAAGAACAAAUAUAAAAGUGUAGUUUACGAAGACAAAAUGCCUCGUGAAACCGACAGAUGAAAAACAACGUGAAACCGAAAAUAUGUGAAUAAAAAAUGAACAACAUAGAACAACAGUAAUGAAAAUGAAAAUAUAAAAACAAAGAACAAAAGCAAAGAAUAAAAAAGGAGAAACGACUGGAGUAAAUAAGAGAAGAAUCCAGAAGAAGUAAUUUAAAGUUGCUUCCAUUGUUCAAUUAUUCGAAGAGCUGUUUGAAGUUCCUCAGCUACAGCAACAACAUUUUUCCG